GAUGAACGCUGGCGGCGUGCCUAAUACAUGCAAGUCGAGCGAACAGACGAGGAGCUUGCUCCUCUGACGUUAGCGGCGGACGGGUGAGUAACACGUGGAUAACCUACCUAUAAGACUGGGAUAACUUCGGGAAACCGGAGCUAAUACCGGAUAAUAUAUUGAACCGCAUGGUUCAAUAGUGAAAGACGGUUUUGCUGUCACUUAUAGAUGGAUCCGCGCCGCAUUAGCUAGUUGGUAAGGUAACGGCUUACCAAGGCAACGAUGCGUAGCCGACCUGAGAGAGUGAUCGGCCACACUGGAACUGAGACACGGUCAAGACUCCUACGGGAGGCAGCAGUAGGGAAUCUUCCGCAAUGGGCGAAAGCCUGACGGAGCAACGCCGCGUGAGUGAUGAAGGUCUUCGGAUCGUAAAACUCUGUUAUUAGGGAAGAACAAAUGUGUAAGUAACUAUGCACGUAUUGACGGUACCUAAUCAGAAAGCCACGGCUAACUACGUG
rnacentral:rRNA from 1 species